rnacentral:rRNA from 1 species
AUUGAACGCUGGCGGCAGGCCUAACACAUGCAAGUCGAACGAGUGGCGGACGGGUGAGUAAUGUCUGGGAAACUGCCUGAUGGAGGGGGAUAACUACUGGAAACGGUAGCUAAUCCCGCAUACCAUCGGAUGUGCCCAGAUGGGAUUAGCUAGUAGGUGGGGUAACGGCUCACCUAGGCGACGAUCCCUAGCUGGUCUGAGAGGAUGACCGGCCACACUGGAACUGAGACACGGUCCAGACUCCUACGGGAGGCAGCAGUGGGGAAUAGUGCACAAUGGGCGCAAGCCUGAUGGAGCCAUGCCGCGUGAAUGAAGAAGGCCUUCGGGUUGUAAAGUACUGUCAGCGGGGAGGCGUUACCCGCAGAAGAAGCAACGGCUAACUCCGUGCCAGCAGCCGCGGUAAUUC